UACAGAGGGUGCAAGCGUUGUUCGGAAUUACUGGGCGUAAAGCGCGUGUAGGCGGUCUCGCAAGUCGGGUGUGAAAGCCCUUGGCUCAACCAAGGAACUGCAUUCGAAACUACGAGACUAGAGUAUCGGAGGGGGUGGCGGAAUUCCCGGUGUAGAGGUGAAAUUCGUAGAUAUCGGGAGGAACACCAAUUGCGAAGGCAGCUCGCUGGGACGUAACUGACGCUGAGACGCGAAAGCGUGGGGAGCAAACAGG
rnacentral:rRNA from 1 species